rnacentral:tRNA from 1 species
GCCCUGGUGACGAAACCGGCAAACGUGUCCGCCUUAGAAGCGGAAUUCUGGGAGUUCGAGUCUCCCCCGGGGCACCA